CUUAACAAAAAUUUCAGCUGAGACUUAAACCGACUUUUUCAAGGAAAUGAAAUUAGGAGAACAAAAACACUUUGAAGUGGACUGCAUAUAUAUACUCAAAAAUAACAUACAACUUGAGUCAGUAAUGGUAAAGAAAACGAACGUACACAGACGGGUUUGGAUUUAGAUGAUGAAGAAUGCACUGAAAGCUUUGCAUUUGAGUUCUCUUUUUCGGGUGAGUAAGUUAGGGAACUGCAAGGCCGAUCAAUUUGAAAAAAGAAAAAAGAAAAAAACUAAAAUGUAAACGCAGCUUGAACUUGAUUUCUUUUGGUUUUUGGGGAGGGGACGGGGGGAGGGGAGGGAAUGUAUACGCAGCUUCAAACUUGGUUUCUUUUCGUUUUUUUCCCCGGGGGUGUGGAGGCCUGGAGGGAAUGUAAACGAACUAACGAAGCCUCAAUCCUCAUGCAGCUGUAUUUAUAUGAAGUGGGUACUGCUGACUGAUCCACGAAGGAAGACUUUUGAUGUCAUUGGUGUUUCUUUAUUUUUGACCUUUUAGCUAGAUGACAGAAGAAUGCCGAGUGCUACGGACACUCGCGAGUGUCUCAAUCGCGGCUCUCUAUAUAGACACGUGUCUAUCAAAAUGAAACCUUAUCAGAGAGACAGCCGCAAGUAUGACGAGACAAGCGCGAUCGUAAGGAUGGAAGCCGCAAGUAUGAAGAGACAGGCCCAAUCCACAACGAUCCAAGAGCAAUCAUUACCUGCAAACUCAACACAACACCUAAUUAACUUCAAACCCCACCAUAAAUCCACCAACAGUCACUAUUCGAAACAAAUCUACCUCAAAUGCGACGUCAAAUAAAAGGAAUAAAAAGGUUUCCUUAAAAGAGAGAGAGCUGCGAGUAUGAAGAGACAAGCACGGUCCACAACGAUCGAAGGCUGUGUGGUAUGUGUCUUGUAUAGAUUGAACAGAGCAAUCAUUACCUGCAAAACUGAACCAAACACUCAAUUAACAAACAAAUUUCAAUUUGAAACCCGACCUUAAAUCCACCAUUGGGCACUAUUCGACACAAAUCUACUUGAAAUCCGACAACAAAUAAAAGGAAAAAAAAUUCUAAAUCAACAUCGAAAUGAAACCUUUAUAAGAGAGAAAGCCGCAAGUACGAAGAGAUCUGAAGUCCUGUUGGUAUAUGUCUUGUAUAGAUUGACAGAGCAAUCAAAGGCCGUGUCGACCAGAGCAAUCGCAGAAUAGAAGAGAUAAGAGAGGAAAAAAGAAGGAAGAGGAGAGCUGCAGCAGCAAAUGAUCAGAGCAAUCAUUACCUGCAAAACUCAACACAACACCAAAUUAACAACCAACAUUUCAAUUUCAAACUUAACCUUAAAUUGAAACAAAUCUACUUGAAAAUAAAAGAAUAAGCAACUCCGAAUCAAAAUCGAAAUGAAACCUUUUAUAACAGAGACAGCCGCGAGUAUGAAGAGACAGGCACAAUCUGCAGCGAUCGAAGAGAAAUCACCACUACCUGCAAAACUCAACACAACGCCUGAUUAACAACAAACAUGCCAAUUUCAAACCCACCUUAAAUCCACCAACAGACACUAUAACUUGAAAUGCAAUAUCAAAUAAAAGGAACAAGUAGUCUAAAUCAAAAUCAAAACGAAACCUUAUAAAAGAGACAGCCGCAAGUCUGAAGAGACCAGCACGAUCCUAAAGGAUCAAAGCCGCAAGUAUGAACAGACCUGAUUAACAACAAACACCUGAUUACCUGCAAAACUCAACACAACACCUGAUUAUCAACAAACAUUUCAAUUUCAAACCCAAAACAAAUCUACUUGAAAAAAAAAAAAAAACAACUCCAAAUCAAAAUCGAAAUGAAACCUUAUUAGAAAGACAGCCGCAAGUAUGACGAGACAAGCACGAUCGUAAAGGAUGGGAGCCGCAAGUAUGAAGAGACAGGCCCAAUCCACAACGAUCCAAGAGCAAUCAUUACCUGCAAACUCAACACAACACCUAAUUAACUUCAAACCCCACCAUAAAUCCACCAACAGUCACUAUUUGAAACAAAUCUACCUCAAAUGCGACAUCAAAUAAAAGGAAUAAAAAGGUUUCCUUAAAAAAGAGUCCACAACGAUCGAAGGCUGUGUUGUAUGUGUCUUGUAUAGAUUGAACAGAGCAAUCAUUACCUGCAAAACUGAACCAAACACUCAAUUAACAAACAAAUUUCAAUUUGAAACCCGACCUUAAAUCCACCAUCGGGAACUAUUCGACACAAAUCUACUUGAAAUCCGACAACAAAUAAAAGGAAAAACAAGUCUAAAUCAACAUCGAAAUGAAACCUUUGUAAGAGAGAAAGCCGCAAGUAUGAAGAGAUCUGAAGUCCUGUUGGUAUAUGUCUUGUAUAGAUUGACAGAGCAAUCAAAGGCCGUGUCGACCAGAGCAAUCGAAGAGUAGAAGAGAUAAGAGAGGAAAAAAGAAGAAGAGGAGAGCUUCAGCAGCAAAUGAUCAGAGCAAUCAUUACCUGCAAAACUCAACACAACACCAAAUUAACAACCAACAUUUCAAUUUCAAACCCAACCUUAAAUUGAAACAAAUCUACUUGAAAAAUAAAGGAAAAAGCAACUCCAAAUCAAAAUCGAAAUGAAACCUUUUAAAACAGAGACAGCCGCGAGUAUGAAGAGACAGGCACAAUCCGCAGCGAUCGAAGAGAAAUCAUCACUACCUGCAAAACUCAACACAACGCCUGAUUAACAACAAACAUGCCAAUUUCAAACCCAACCUUAAAUCCACCAACAGACAGACACUAUAACUUGAAAUGCAAUAUCAAAUAAAAGGAAAAACAAGUCUAAGUCAACAUCGAAAUGAAACCUUUAUAAGAUAGAAAGCCGCAAGUACGAAGAGAGAAGCGCGAUCCUAAAAGAUCUGAAGUCGUGUUGUAUAUAUGUCUUGUAUAGAUUGACAGAGCAAUCAAAGCCCGUGUCGACCAGAGCGAUCGAAGAGGAGAAGAGAGAAGAGAGAAAAAGAGAAGAGGAGGAGAACUGCAGCAGCAAAUGAGCAAAGGGAGCUCA
rnacentral:lncRNA from 1 species